rnacentral:rRNA from 1 species
CCUACGGGAUGCAGCAGUGGGGAAUAUUGGGCAAUGGGCGCAAGCCUGACCCAGCAACGCCGCGUGAAGGAAGAAGGCUUUCGGGUUGUAAACUUCUUUUCUCAGGGACGAAGAAAGUGACGGUACCUGAGGAAUAAGCCACGGCUAACUACGUGCCAGCAGCCGCGGUAAUACGUAGGUGGCAAGCGUUAUCCGGAUUUACUGGGUGUAAAGGGCGUGUAGGCGGGGAAGCAAGUCAGAUGUGAAAACCACGGGCUCAACCUGUGGCCUGCAUUUGAAACUGUUUUUCUUGAGUACUGGAGAGGCAGACGGAAUUCCUAGUGUAGCGGUGAAAUGCGGAGAUAUUAGGAGGAACACCAGUGGCGAAGGCGGUCUGCUGGACAGCAACUGACGCUGAGGCGCGAAAGCGUGGGGAGCAAACAGGAUUAGAUACCCGGGUAGUC